rnacentral:rRNA from 1 species
GGGCCCGCACAAGCGGUGGAGCAUGUGGUUUAAUUCGACGCAACGCGAAGAACCUUACCAGCGUUUGACAUGAGAAGUGCCGGUUACAGAAUGGUAACCUUCAGUUCGGCUGGCUUCUACACAGGUGCUGCAUGGCUGUCGUCAGCUCGUGUCGUGAGAUGUUGGGUUAAGUCCCGCAACGAGCGCAACCCUUAUCGUUAGUUGCCAUCGGUUUUAGCCGGGCACUCUAAGGAAACUGCCUGUGAUAAGCAGGAGGAAGGCGGGGAUGACGUCAAGUCCUCAUGGCCCUUACGGGCUGGGCUACACACGUGCUACAAUGGCGGUGACAGUGGGAAGCGGAAGGGGCGACCUGGAGCCAAUCCCCAAAAGCCGUCUCAGUUCGGAUUGCACUCUGCAACUCGAGUGCAUGAAGGUGGAAUC